rnacentral:rRNA from 1 species
GCGGUAAUACCGGCAGCUCAAGUGGUCGUCGCUUUUAUUGGGCCUAAAACGUCCGUAGCCUGUUUGGUAAAUCUGUGGGUAAAUCAACCAGCUUAACUGGUUGAAUUCUGCAGAGACUGCCAGACUAGGGACCGGGAGAGGUGUGGGGUACUCUAGGGGUAGGGGUAAAAUCCUGUCAUCCUUAGAGGACCACCAGUUGCGAAGGCGCCACACUGGAACGGAUCCGACGGUCAGGGACGAAGCCUAGGGGCACGAACCGGAUUAGAUACCCGGGUAGUCCUAGGUGUAAACGCUGUGAACUUGGUGUCGGGRRUCCGCAAUGGGMCCMCGGUGCCGGAGUGAAGAUGUUAAGUUCACUGCCUGGGGAGUACGGUCGCAGCGGUAAUACCGGCAGCUCAAGUGGUCGUCGCUUUUAUUGGGCCUAAAACGUCCGUAGCCUGUUUGGUAAAUCUGUGGGUAAAUCAACCAGCUUAACUGGUUGAAUUCUGCAGAGACUGCCAGACUAGGGACCGGGAGAGGUGUGGGGUACUCUAGGGGUAGGGGUAAAAUCCUGUCAUCCUUAGAGGACCACCAGUUGCGAAGGCGCCACACUGGAACGGAUCCGACGGUCAGGGACGAAGCCUAGGGGCACGAACCGGAUUAGAUACCCGGGUAGUCCUAGGUGUAAACGCUGUGAACUUGGUGUCGGGRRUCCGCAAUGGGMCCMCGGUGCCGGAGUGAAGAUGUUAAGUUCACUGCCUGGGGAGUACGGUCGCA